rnacentral:misc_RNA from 1 species
CAUGAUUCGUUAAAAAGCAAUUUCUUCUGGCAUUCUCAUUGACGAAGAUUCCUAUAAAAAUUUGUCUUUUUCAAGUUCUCCUUUAGAACCAACGAAAAACCAAUAAUAUCUUUCGCGUGACACUCGAACCACGUGCAUUCUUUCACAAACAAGAAAAUUAGUCACGAAGCCGACGUUUACGUUUACGGAAUGUUUCGCACGUGUCGCGAAUUACACAAUUCCAGUGAUUUAUUUCUCGUUAGCACAAUUUAUCACGUCUUCCAACGGAACAACAAAAAACUAAGCGUACUUACGUCAACGAGAAUUUUUGGAAGAUUCCAAAUAAAAAUCAAAAAGUCAAAGUUUCAAUCUCAAGUUGCCACUGUUGGAAAAACUUCGUGUUUUAAUAAAAGUUUUUACAAGAAUUCACAGUUUCUUCCACGAUAUUCUUAUAUAGGCCAAGCUGGUGCACAAAUCAACACGAAUUGAUCCAAA